UAUUUACGUCGUACGUUACGA
rnacentral:siRNA from 1 species